GUCAGCCUCACACUGAUCACACACAGACAUGAGUGUGCCCACUCAGCUCCUGGGGUUGCUGCUGCUGUGGCUUACAGAUUCCAGGUGUGACAUCCAGAUGACUCAGUCUCCAGACUCCCUGGCUGCAUCUCUGGGAGAAAGUGUCACUAUCACAUGUCAAGCAAGUGAGAACAUUUACAAGUAUUUAGCAUGGUAUAGGCAAAAACCAGGGAAAUCUCCUCAGCUCCUGAUCUAUGGUACAACCAGCUUAGCAGAUGGUGUGCCAUCGAGGUUCAUUGGCAGUGGAUCUGUCACACAGUAUUCUCUCAAGAUUAAUAGUUUGCAGCCUGAAGAUAUUGCAUCUUAUUACUGUCAAAGUGCUUUAAGUACCCCUUCCACAGUGAUUCAAGCCAUGACAUAA